GCGCUCUUAAUUCAAUUAGUAAGAAUUUAGGUCUCCAAAACCUAAUGUUGUAGGUUAAAAUCCUACAGAGCGCG
rnacentral:tRNA from 1 species